AAAAAAAUAAAGCUAAAAAUGAUGAACACAUUGAACAAGAUUGAUGAAGAAAAGCUUGAUUAUGGCAAGUUGAUUUAGGGUUUUUUUUUGAACUCUGUUCUGUACUGUACUGCUGUGGUGUGUGUGUGUUGGAAAGAAUCGUGAAGAAAACCCUAAACGCGAAUAGCUUAAUUUUGUGAAUUUGGGGUUUCCGAGAUUCACUGGAGAUAUACUAUUGAAAACCCCAAAAGAAAUGGACAGAUCAAGAUCUAAGAGAUACUAUUACGACCAGGAUUAUGAAUCCGAGAACUUACCCAGGACUAAACAGAGGUACAACAACCCUCACCAUUAUGCACCGACGGCUCAUCACAGACGUCCUGUUUCCGGUGGAGGUGGAGGAGGUAGGAAAAUGCAGGACCCUGCACUUAUGGUUACUACUACUUACCGGAUUUUAUGUCACGAUGUUAAGGCGGGUGGUGUUAUUGGGAAAUCAGGGAGUAUUAUUAAGGCGAUUAGGCAGCAUACUGGGGCAUGGGUGAAUGUACAUGAACUGAUUCCAGGAGAUGAUGAACGUAUCAUUGAGAUUUCGGACACUCGGAGGAGGGAUCCUGAUGGUAGAAUGCCGGCGUUUUCGCCAGCUCAGGAGGCAUUGCUGAUGAUACAUGAGAGGAUUUUGGAUAGUGAUAGUGGUGGAGGAGGGUACAGUGGUGGGAUGGAUGUGGAGGAGGAAUUUAGGAUGAGAGGUGUUAGUGGGAGUAAUCGCGCCGUAACAAGGUUGGUGGUGACUAGAAUGCAUGUGGGAUGUUUGCUAGGGAAAGGAGGGAAAAUUAUUGAGCAAAUGAGGAUUGAGACUAAGACACAUAUUAGAAUUUUGCCCAGAGAUCACAGUUUGCCGCGUUGCGUUUCAAUGUCAGAGGAGAUUGUUCAGGUUGUUGGGGAAGUAAAUGCUGUGAAAAAGGCUGUAGAAAUUAUUUCCUCACGCUUGAGGGAGAGCCAGCAUCGUGAUCGGGGUCACUUUCCUGGUCGGCCACAUUCUCCUGAACGGUUUCUCCCUCCUGAUGACGAAUUUAUUCCCCACAUGAACAGUACAGCUCGCAGGCUGUCUGAAAAUGGGUCUGCUUUUGGAUCAAGGCUUCCUGCUGGUAUGAGUGGUGGUCGAAGCAAUAACUAUUCCUCAUCCUCAUCUGGAUAUGCCAUUGAAUCUGGAAUCGCUCCCAACAAUGAUAAUGGGCAGGUCAUGUACGUUGAAGAUCUUGUGUUCCGAAUUCUAUGUCCAGUUGACAAGGUUGAUACUGUUGCUGGGGAAUCAGAUGGAAUUAUAGAGUUGCUUCAGAAUGAGAUUGGUGUGGAUGUGAAGAUUUUGAAUCCUGUUGCCGGCUCAGAUGAACAGGUCAUAAUCAUUUCAUCUGAUGAGGGUCCAGAUGAUGAGCUGUUUCCUGCUCAGGAAGCUCUUUUGCAUAUUCAAACCCGCAUUGUUGAUCUUGUUCCGGAGAAGGAAAAUGUUAUUACAACUCGUUUAGUUGUGCAAACAGAUGAAGUUGAAUGUUUGGGAGGAAGAGAUGGACUAUUAUCUGAUAUGCAGAAAAUAACUGGUGCUACUGUCAAGAUUCUACCAAAGGAAGAACUUCCACCAUGUGUGUCAAGGACUGAUGAAGUUAUACAGAUUGUUGGAGAGAUCAAAGCAGCUAGAGAAGCUCUUGUUGAAGUGACAUCGAGGCUUCGGAGUUUUACUUAUCGGAAUUUCUUUCAAAAGGAUAUACCCUCACCAGCAAUACCUGCAUCAAGCCCUGCUAGGAGUACUAUUGGAGCAGACAAAAAUUCUUUCAAUAACACAUCUCCAUCUCAACAAAACUACAGUGUGAAUGACGUUCCAACUUCAAUCUAUCAAAAUACACCAGCCAAACCAAUCUCACAGCCAGUAAAAGAAACUGGGGCAUCUGCCAGUGAAAUAACCAAGCAAAAUGAAAGUGAGCGUCGUGAAGAUAUUCCGAGCGGAUUGAAUAGAAUGCAUGUAACAUUGGUCACUAGAAGUAUUUUGGAAGUUGUCAUACCUCCACAUGCAGCGCCCAAACUGAUAACAAAAUCAAGAAAUAAGCUUGCUCAGAUUAGUGAGUUGUCAGGAGCAAAUGUUAAAUUGAUUGAGGAUAGGCCUGAGGUAACAGAUAAGAUCAUACAGAUAUCAGGCACUCCGGAGCAAGCAGAGAGAGCUCAAAGCCUGCUUCAAGGAUUUAUUUUAAGCACUCUAGAAGAUGGCCCCUGAAACGCUGUGACAAGUUUGCGUGGCAAGUAAUGCUCCAAGCCUGGAGGUGCCUUGCAAUUUUCCUUUGUAGGCCGACUUCCCUAAAAGUGUCCGCUAUAGUAGGGUAUCCUAGGCCAUCGCGAGGCACUGACAAGUAAGAAUGUACAAUAUAAAUCGGUGCAUAUCGUUAUAUGUAAUGCUUAAUACCUCAAAUUGUUGUGUUGUAUUUGGAAUGUACUAUCAACAGUCCUGCACUGUACAAGAAUGUAGUUAAGCCUUUGUGCAAACUCAGGCUGGUGCUUAU
rnacentral:misc_RNA from 1 species